rnacentral:rRNA from 1 species
UAGGGAAUCUUCGGCAAUGGACGGAAGUCUGACCGAGCAACUCCGCGUGAGUGAAGAAGGUUUUCGGAUCGUUAAGCUCUGUUGUUAGAGAAGAACGUUGGUAGGAGUGGAAAAUCUACCAAGUGACGGUAACUAACCAGAAAGGGACGGCUAACUACGUGCCAGCAGCCGCGGUAAUACGUAGGUCCCGAGCGUUGUCCGGAUUUAUUGGGCGUAAAGCGAGCGCAGGCGGUUCUUUAAGUCUGAAGUUAAAGGCAGUGGCUUAACCAUUGUACGCUUUGGAAACUGGAGGACUUGAGUGCAGAAGGGGAGGGUGGAAUUCCAUGUGUAGCGGUGAAUUGCGUAGUAAUAUGGAGGAACACCGGUGGCAAAAGCGGCUCUCUGGUCUGUAACUGACGCUGAGGCUCAAAAGCGUGGGGAGCAAACAGG